AUACUUGAUAUAUUCCAUUUGUGUCAAUUAUUUUUUAAGUAUAUUGCAGGAUUGAAAAUUAACAUAUUCUUGCUGACUGCAUGCUCGAGUAUUCCUACACCAAUUGCUAACACGACAUUGCCAGCAUACACAGAUGGAAGAAAUUUUUCCCCUUCCAUUAGCUCAAGAUCAAACAUUGCAACUCCAAGAGCAAGGAUAACAUUUCCAUCAUACACAGAAGAAACAAGUUUAUCCUAUCCUACUAGAUCAUGCACAAGCAUUGGAACACUGAGUGCAAGUCUGUCAACAUUGCCAACAUACUCAGGUACUGUCACUGUAAAAAUAAUGAGCCAUCUGUCAUUUUUCUUAAUUUUUGAAAUACCAUAUUUUAUACUAAUUACAAUGAUGUUAAAGCUGUGGAAAA